GAUUUCUAAACUAUCCUAAAAAAUCACUCCAAUCAAUUCAUGUAUUGUACUCAUUCCCUUUCUUGCACUCAUUCCUUCUCUUUGUCACCAUGAGUGGUUGAAAUUUUGAGUAUUGCUCCAAGAAUCCUUUUUCAUGUACACCAAAAGUUCUACCAUGUUGCAUGAGGAGAUUGGUGUAUAUUCUACAAAUUAGCAGAAUACACAGGGGUAGUCAGAUGUGGAGUUGCCAAGCCACUAUAAGUGGCCCCAAGGAAUUUUCUGUGUGCACAUAAUGGGCACCCCAUAGCAUUUUACUAAAAUUUAUUUAUUUAUUUAUUUUUUGCUAAGAUGGUUGGAUCAUACUUGACGAGUACAGAUACACCCAAUAAAAUAAAAAAAUAAAAU
rnacentral:lncRNA from 1 species